CAAAAACAAUUAUAUUAUAGUCUAAUCUUAUUCAUUUUCUUAAACAAAAUACUUGUAAAAAUUAGUUUAGUUUAUUUUUCUUAAAAUCUUUGUAAACCUAACAUAUUUCAGCAGUGGAAUUAGUUAUAUUCUGGAGCUGUAUGUUUAGUGUCAAAUAAACUAUCAAAUAAACUAUCAAACUAAACUAAAGGUUGAGAGGAUUAAGAAUUGUUCGUUCCCUUGUUGGGAAGAAAGAAAAAAGAAAGAAAGAAAACAUAGCGCACGACAUCUAUGAAAUUGUCCAAACUCGCAGAGAAAAUCUGUCUUAUUGUUUUACCUUGAAUUUAUAGAAUUCUUCUUUCUCUCCACGAAUGGACAUUUGCAACUCAAAUGU